CUGUGAAAUGAUGAGCUUUCUCAUGUCUCUUCUCUGACAUCUUACUGGAGAGAUUGCAAACAACUCUGAUCACAG